CAGUCGCCACGGUAAUACGUAGGGUGCGAGCGUUAAUCGGAAUUACUGGGCGUAAAGCGUGCGCAGGCGGUUAUAUAAGACAGAUGUGAAAUCCCCGGGCUCAGCCUGGGACCUGCAUUUGUGACUGUAUAGCUAGAGUACGGUAGAGGGGGAUGGAAUUCCGCGUGUAGCAGUGAAAUGCGUAGAUAUGCGGAGGAACACCGAUGGCGAAGGCAAUCCCCUGGACCUGUACUGACGCUCAUGCACGAAAGCGUGGGGAGCAAACAGGAUUAGAUACCCCGGUAGUCCCUGUCUCUUAUAC
rnacentral:rRNA from 1 species